rnacentral:rRNA from 1 species
AACGAACGCUGGCGGCAUGCCUAACACAUGCAAGUCGAACGAGACCUUCGGGUCUAGUGGCGCACGGGUGCGUAACGCGUGGGAAUCUGCCCUUGGGUUCGGAAUAACAGCGAGAAAUUGCUGCUAAUACCGGAUGAUGACGUAAGUCCAAAGAUUUAUCGCCCAAGGAUGAGCCCGCGUAGGAUUAGCUAGUUGGUGAGGUAAAGGCUCACCAAGGCGACGAUCCUUAGCUGGUCUGAGAGGAUGAUCAGCCACACUGGGACUGAGACACGGCCCAGACUCCUACGGGAGGCAGCAGUGGGGAAUAUUGGACAAUGGGGCGAAAGCCUGAUCCAGCAAUGCCGCGUGAGUGAUGAAGGCCUUAGGGUUGUAAAGCUCUUUUGUCCGGGAAGAUAAUGACUGUACCGGAAGAAUAAGCCCCGGCUAACUUCGUGCCAGCAGCCGCGGUAAU